rnacentral:rRNA from 1 species
UACGUAGGGGGCAAGCGUUGUCCGGAAUUAUUGGGCGUAAAGAGCGUGUAGGCGGUCUGUCGCGUCGGAUGUGAAACCUCGGGGCUCAACCCCGAGCCUGCAUUCGAUACGGGCAGACUAGAGUUCGGUAGGGGAGACUGGAAUUCCUGGUGUAGCGGUGAAAUGCGCAGAUAUCAGGAGGAACACCGGUGGCGAAGGCGGGUCUCUGGGCCGAUACUGACGCUGAGGAGCGAAAGCGUGGGGAGCGAACAGG